rnacentral:tRNA from 1 species
GUCUUCGUGGUGUAGUGGUCAGCACGCUCGACUGGUAUUCGAGAGGUGUGUGGUUCGAGUCCCGGCGAGCGCA